rnacentral:lncRNA from 1 species
GCCAGGGUAACAAAGGGUGGAAAACAGCUUCCAACAAACAAGGGGGUAAAAUAGGUUUUUCCUUUUCACUUAUUGAAAAAAGAAAAAAAAGGAGAUGGCAAUGUUGAUGUACCUCUCCCUUGUCUCAUUCCCCUUGCCAAAACCUCAUAACCAGGAUAUGCAAUCCAAUUCCCCGGUGGAAAAUGUUAAAGUUUCAUGGCAAACUUCCCAUUUUGUUUCCCUUGGACAGGAUUUAAACCACUUCUUUGUGAAAAUUUAACAUCUAGUCCC